rnacentral:rRNA from 1 species
CCUACGGGAGGCAGCAGUGGGGAAUAUUGCGCAAUGGGCGAAAGCCUGACGCAGCGACGCCGCGUGAGGGAUGAAGGUUUUCGGAUCGUAAACCUCUGUCAGAAGGGAAGAAGUUGCAUGGGGCCAAUCACCUGUGCAUUGACGGUACCUUCAAAGGAAGCACCGGCUAACUCCGUGCCAGCAGCCGCGGUAAUACGGAGGGUGCGAGCGUUAAUCGGAAUUACUGGGCGUAAAGCGCACGUAGGCUGUAUGUCAAGUCAAGGGUGAAAUCCCACGGCUCAACCGUGGAACUGCCUUUGAAACUGGCAAACUGGAGUAUGUGAGAGGGCGGCGGAAUUCCUGGUGUAGGAGUGAAAUCCGUAGAUAUCAGGAGGAACAUCAGUGGCGAAGGCGGCCGCCUGGCACAAAACUGACGCUGAGGUGCGAAAGCGUGGGUAGCAAACAGGAUUAGAUACCCCAGUAGUC